rnacentral:rRNA from 1 species
UACGUAGGGGGCAAGCGUUGUCCGGAAUCAUUGGGCGUAAAGAGCGUGUAGGCGGCUCGGUAAGUCCGCUGUAAAAGUCCAGGGCUCAACCCUGGAAAGCCGGUGGAAACUGUCGAGCUAGAGUCCGGAAGAGGCGAGUGGAAUUCCUGGUGUAGCGGUGAAAUGCGCAGAUAUCAGGAGGAACACCAAUUGCGAAGGCAGCUCGCUGGGACGUUACUGACGCUGAGACGCGAAAGCGUGGGGAGCAAACAGG